rnacentral:rRNA from 1 species
GACGAACGCUGGCGGCGUGCUUAACACAUGCAAGUCGAACGAUGAAGAAGAGAAACGCGAACUUCGGUUCAACUUUCACUUCGGAUUAGCGGCAGACGGGUGAGUAACGCGUGAGCAACCUACCUCUUACAAAGGGAUAGCCUCGGGAAACCGUGAUUAAUACCAUAUGACACAUUCAUAAGGCAUCUUAAGAAUGUUAAAGCUACGGCGGUAAGAGAUGGGCUCGCGUCCCAUUAGCUAGUUGGUGAGGUAACGGCCCACCAAGGCGACGAUGGGUAACCGGCCUGAGAGGGUGAACGGUCACAUUGGAACUGAGACACGGUCCAAACUCCUACGGGAGGCAGCAGUGGGGAAUAUUGCACAAUGGAGGGAACUCUGAUGCAGCGACGCCGCGUGAGCGAUGAAGGAAUUCGUUUCGUAAAGCUCUGUUCUAUGGGAAGAAAAGGACUGUACCAUAGGAGAAAGCCCCGGCUAAAUACGUG